CCAAGUCGUGAGGCGGAGCUAAUCCCUUAAAGCCAUUCUCAGUUCGGAUUGUAGGCUGAAACUCGCCUACAUGAAGCUGGAGUUACUAGUAAUCGCAGAUCAGAAUGCUGCGGUGAAUGCGCUCCCGGGUCUUGUACACACCGCCCGUCACACCACGGAAGUUGGGGGCGCCCGAAGCCACUUAGCUAACCCAUUUGGGAAGCGAGUGUCGAAGGUGAAAUCAAUAACUGGGGUGAAGUCGUAACAAGGUAUC
rnacentral:rRNA from 1 species